rnacentral:rRNA from 1 species
AUUGAACGCUGGCGGCGUGCUUAACACAUGCAAGUCGAUCGGUAACGCGGGGGCAACCCUGGCGACGAGAGGCGGACGGGUGAGGAACGCUUGGGAAUCUGCCUAUCAGCGGGGGACAACACGGGGAAACUCGUGCUAAUACCGCAUACGCUCUACGGAGGAAAGCCGGGGACCGCAAGGCCUGGCACUGAAGGAUGAGCCCAAGUCGGAUUAGCUAGUUGGCGGGGUAAAGGCCUACCAAGGCGACGAUCUGUAGCGGGUCUGAGAGGAUGAUCCGCCACACUGGGACUGAGACACGGCCCAGACUCCUACGGGAGGCAGCAGUGGGGAAUAUUGGACAAUGGGGGGAACCCUGAUCCAGCCAUGCCGCGUGUGUGAAGAAGGCCUUAUGGUUGUAAAGCACUUUAAGCGAGGAGGAGGCUCUUUUGGUUAAUACCCAAGAUGAGUGGACGUUACUCGCAGAAUAAGCACCGGCUAACUCUGUGCCAGCAGCCGCAGUAAAAC